rnacentral:rRNA from 1 species
CAGUCGAACGGAGAUUGUAGCAAUACGGUCUCAGUGGCGAACGGGUGAGUAACGCGUUGGUGACCUGCCCCGAAGUGUGGAAUAACAGAUCGAAAGAGCUGCUAAUACCGCAUAAUAUCCAGAAGAUUAGAUGCUUUUGGAUUAAAGGAUUUAUUCGCUUCGGGAGGGGCCUGCGUCCCAUCAGCUAGUUGGUAAGGUAAAGGCUUACCAAGGCUAUGACGGGUAGGGGACCUGAGAGGGUGGCCCCCCACAAUGGAACUGAAACACGGUCCAUACACCUACGGGUGGCAGCAGUAGGGAAUAUUAGUAAUGGGCGAAAGCCUGAACUAGCAACGCCGCGUGUGCGAAGAAGGCCUUCGGGUUGUAAAGCACUUUUUGAGAGGAUGAGGAAGGACGGUACUCUCAGAAUAAGUCUCGGCUAACUACGUGCCAGCAGCCGCGGUAACACGUAGGAGGCAAACGUUAUCCGGAUUUACUGGGCGUAAAGCGCGUGUAGGUGGUUUGGUAAGUAGGGCGUGAAAGCUCCUGGCUCAACUGGGAGAGGCCGUUCUAAACUGCCGAACUAGAGGAUGGUAGAGGGAGGUGGAAUUCCGGGUGUAGCGGUGGAAUGCGCAGAUAUCCGGAGGAACACCAGUGGCGAAAGCGGCCUCCUGGACCAUUCCUG